AGUACCUGAAGAUAGAAGGCGCGAUGAUUCAAAGUUACAUCACACCCACGAUGGCUUUCAAACAAUAUCAUUUUCAGGUAUGUUUUGCAUCUAUUUCUGUUAAUUCUUACAAAAGGUUUCAUUUUCAGUUUGUUGUGGAAUUACUGACGCUUAUGUGAUAAAAUUUGUGAAUGCUGGAAUUGUAUAUCACCUUACAAGUUGUUCUUCAACAACCCUUUUGUAAGUAUGAAUAUCUAGAUCAUUUCGUCACAUAGUAGGAAAGAAGAUGAGUUGGAUAGUGUUGCCUGAAAUAGUUAGAAGCUUCUUCUGUAAGGUGUUUGCACUCACUUCCUGCUGAAGUACAAUCAAGUGUUUCUCUUUUUAAUCUAAUUGUGCAUUCCAGGAAACUAUCUAUUAACUAUAAACUUACAUGACAUGGUUGAUGAGAGGAUCUCUUAGUGCCUAUUUAAUUUCCGCAGAACCAAGGUGACUAAAUUAGAGAAAAAGAAAUAUUUUUUUGGGCUGAGUGAGAGGUGAGGGACAUAAUAUAAAUUCUUACAAUUGACAAGUUAGUUUAAAUGCCUUCCAAUGAUGCUGCAGAAAUCACUUGCGAAUUUUUUGUCAAAACACUUGAUGUGCACUAAUAUUCAUUUUCUCCCUACCUUAGAGAUUUAUGGUGGCCAUUUCCAGGUGUUUUUGUGUAUAGUGUAGGUAAUUUUUCUUAACAUGGAUUUUUACACUCUGGAACCUGCACAAUAUGAAGUCCUUUCUUCAAUCAAAUUGGCUUGUAACUUUACCAAAUACCUAGAUGCAUGAGCUAGAUAUGUAAGCAACCGGCAAAAUGAUGUUUCCUCCCUACAUUGCUUCUCAAGUUUCCUGUGAGUUUAUAAAAUUUUAGAAUUAUAUAGACUUAAGGUAGCUGUUUUAGGUGUAAAAUUUUGCUUUACAAUGUAACAAGCUACUCAUUAGCAGAAGAAAGGAGUUGUUCUAGAAGAACAAUGCUGCAAGCUAAUUGGUCAUGUGUGGCAUGUCAUUCUUCAAGUGCAUAUUGUAAAAAUGAGGAUUGAUAAUCUAAGUUUCAAAAUGCACAUUUAUUUAAGGUAAAUGUAUUUUUUGCGGAAAACAUGAUAUUGAUAUGAACAUGAAUAGUGUGUUUUUUCUAAAACAUACUCUUAUUUCUGCUUUUGCAAAUUGAAUUCUUGGAUUGAAAUGUGGCACAUGAUGGUGUACUUGUGUGUAGGAAAAGUGUAAUAGGGGUGCUAGCAAUAAUAUUUCUAGAAGCAUAGUGCUUUAAUAUAUUAAAUCUUCAGUUGAUAUGUGUAGAUAAGUGGCACAGGAUGCCGAGGGUGCAAUAAUAAUGUAGUAUCAUGUGGGUAAUAGUGUAAAACUGUUAAGGCCCUCAAGGUGAAUGUGAGGAGAAAGGAAAGUAAGCAACACGGGGCACGGGAAAUGAGUUGAGGGCUGUAACAGUUUUGGAGCAACGUGGCAACAGGGCAUUUAAAGAAGAAAAGAGAGGCAAUGAGUAGAGGAUUUAAGCGAGGGACUGGGGGUGAAAAAGAUACAGAGAUUUUCUGUGUUAAGUUGAGUACAGGGGAGCACCAGCUCAUCAAAACGCCAGAAGUUACCCUUAAGUCCAUUACAGCCUAUUCCUACAGUUUGUUCGGGCUAUUGUAGUAGAAGCAAUUAUAAAAAGUUCUGCAGUGAUAAAUAAAAUCAAUUGAAUAUCCACUAAACUAUUCUGGUUAUUUCUCUGCUGUGUUUGGAUUGUGUUUGUUGUGUUGAGUAUAAUUUGCAGGUAGUGGAGUAACAGUCGAAUUGAGAUGACACUAGCAGGUGGAGUUACAGUCAACUGGAGGUGAUUUACGCUGUGUAGAGAAAAAUUCAGGACUCACCUCAAGAGUUUGCAGCCCUUCAACACGUUACUUACAAUGUCUGCUAUGUUUGCUUGCAAUCAAUAAUAAAACAUAUGGUUGUUUCAUAAAUAAAAUUAUGAUGAAUGGAGCUUGUCCUGCAAUCAUGGAAUCUGGCAUUUUUUGUAAUUGUAUUUCAAAUGAUAUAAUACAAAAAACAAAUAAUUUUAUGGGAAAAACAAAAAGCACUCUGUACUAAAUUUUAAUAUAACAGAAGAUUGGCAUUGAGAAUUUGAA